GAUGAACGCUAGCGGCAGGCCUAAUACAUGCAAGCCGGACGGCAAGUUGAGUAGCAAUACUUGACCUAGAGUGGCGUAAGGGUGCGUAACACGUAUGCAAUCUGCCCACAGCCGGGAGAUAGCUCUCCGAAAGGAGGAUUAAUAUCCCAUAGGAAGAUGAGAUGGCAUCAUUUUAUUUUAACUACGGGUCGUGUGGAUGAGCAUGCGGUUGAUUAGCUAGUUGGCGGGGUAAAGGCCCACCCAAGGCGAUGAUCAAUAGGGGACCGUGAGAGGGUGAUCCCCCACCACUGGCACUGAGAUACGGGCCAGACUCCUACGGGAGGCAGCAGUAGGGAAUAUUGGACAAUGGGU
rnacentral:rRNA from 1 species